GAUAGUUCAUUUAUUCUUUCCAGAAACAUUUAUUGAACACCAAAGAGCACUAUGCUGGGUUCUGGGGUUCAGAGAGGGAUGAGAGGGAGGGAAGAAAGGCUCGAGUUAAUUAGCAAGCAUACAUUUCAGGGGGUCAAUCCUCUAUGAAAUGAAACAGGGAUACACAACCUGCUCUUGGCAGGGGAUCCCUGCAGGACCCAGUUCUAUGCAGGAAGGCACUGACUACAUGGAUGAAGCAGGCAGCAAUACCUGGGCGCAUAGAAAUCAGAGGGCAUGAUAGGUGUAGACUUUUCACAUCUUCAGAGCUAACAAGUCUUUUAUUUCCUUUUGGAGAUGUGUUUUAAAUCGGCUAUUUAAAUAAGAUAGUUUUAGGCUUGGAGGGAGGUUUUCAGCCUGAGGUAUUUUCCUAAUUGCUAAUAGAAAGCGGUUUUAAUGGAGACCUUUACCUGAAACAUGGCAGCUACCAUCAUCUAAAAAUAAACCCCAGGAGCAUGAAAUUAUUUUUAUGUGACCUGCUCAUCACACCCACAGCUGGGAAGAUAUGCUCCUUCUCCCCUGAAGGCAUUAAUAUUUUUAGGGCUGGGUUUAUAACUGCACACAAGUCUGAAAAUUAAGAAUGAACUCCAGGGCUAUACAGAGUUAUAUUAAAAUAUAAUGUAAAUUAUCCCAGAGGAAUAUAUUUUAAAAUGUGAAACACAUCCAUAUUUUUCAAAUCUACACACUGGGGCUUGUUGUUACCAGCACUAGCAUCUAAGCUUGGUUUGACUUCUAGACAGCCCCCCAGGGCAAGAAAAAUCAAGAAUCCAAAUCGGUCAAUUACUUCCAAGUCGGCCAAAAGGGGGCCCAUUCACACCAUUCCACAGCCUUCAAAAUAAUCUAUUUGUGAAUUUCAGAAACACUUCAGUGUGGAAACCCAGAGGCUUGAAAAAGUAAGACUGUAGAUGGGACCGGACUGGGUGGGCAGCUUUUGUGUAGCCAAAUCUGUCUAGACAAGAAUAUCCGCCACUCCUUGAUCGCAGUGAAAGAAGAAGGGGAACUGGGGGCAGUGGACUCAGAAUGCCCUCAAAGAACGUGGAAACCUUUUUACAGACAGAUCGUCUCUCCCGGCUCAACUGCAAUUAUCAAGAUGUCCCCCUGCAAUUCCUCAUUAUUGAAUUAAUACCUCUGAGGCCCCCCAAAGGAGUCCUGAAACGACAGAACUCGGAUCUUUUUAAAGGCCUUCUCCGCUGGCACGGGCUCCAGCUUCACUGCGAACUGCGUAACUGAUACCCACCAGGCCCCUGGGGCACCAGGCGGGGGUGGCGAGCGCACAGCACAGCGACCAAAAAUAGCCCCUGCUUUGCUCUGUCUGCGGACAGCGCUUCCUGAGCCUCGCCGGGGACCUAGCCGGGACCGCAGCUCCGGAGGCCUUGUGUCUGUGCCCUCUGCUGUGCGCGCGUCUCCAAGGUGGCGCUUUCGGGCGCUCUUUGGAGAGGCUGUUUCUUUUCCUCUCUCUAACUAAAACUUGUAAUUUGAAAACAUUAAACUGCAACGACCUUGGGAAGAAGAUAAACCAUUCCAGCCUAAACUUAAAGCCCGA
rnacentral:lncRNA from 10 species